rnacentral:rRNA from 1 species
UACGGGGGGGCAAGCGUUGUUCGGAAUUACUGGGCGUAAAGGGCUCGUAGGCGGCCAACUAAGUCGGAUGUGAAAUCCCCAGGCUCAACCUGGGAACUGCAUCCGAUACUGGAUGGCUUGAAUUCGGGAGAGGGAUGCAGAAUUCCAGGUGUAGCGGUGAAAUGCGUAGAUAUCUGGAAGGAAUACCGGUGGCGAAGGCGGCAUCCUGGACCGACAUUGACGCUGAUGGAGCGAAAGCUAGGGGAGCCAAACGGGG